rnacentral:rRNA from 1 species
AUGCCGCGUGCAGGAAGAAGGCCUUCGGGUUGUAAACUGCUUUUGCUAGGGAAGAAAUCUUCUGGGUUAAUACCUCGGGAGGAUGACGGUACCUGAAGAAUAAGCACCGGCUAACUACGUGCCAGCAGCCGCGGUAAUACGUAGGGUGCGAGCGUUAAUCGGAAUUACUGGGCGUAAAGCGUGCGCAGGCGGCUUUGCAAGACAGAGGUGAAAUCCCCGGGCUCAACCUGGGAACUGCCUUUGUGACUGCAAGGCUAGAGUACGGCAGAGGGGGAUGGAAUUCCGCGUGUAGCAGUGAAAUGCGUAGAUAUGCGGAGGAACACCAAUGGCGAAGGCAAUCCCCUGGGCCUGUACUGACGCUCAUGCACGAAAGCGUGGGGAGCAAACAGGAUUAGAUACCCUGGUAGUCCACGCCCUAAACGAUGUCAACUGGUUGUUGGACGGCUUGCUGUUCAGUAACGAAGCUAACGCGUGAAGUUGACCGCCUGGGGAGUACGGCCGCAAGGUUGAAACUCAAAGGAUUGGACGGGG